UACGGAGGGUGCGAGCGUUAAUCGGAAUUACUGGGCGUAAAGGGUUCGUAGGUGGUUAGAUAAGUCAGAUGUGAAAGCCCAGGGCUCAACCUUGGAAUUGCAUUUGAAACUGUUUAACUAGAGUUUACUAGAGGAUUGGGGAAUUUCCGGUGUAGCGGUGAAAUGCGUAGAGAUCGGAAAGAACAUCAAUGGCGAAGGCAACAAUCUGGGGUUAAACUGACACUGAGGGACGAAAGCGUGGGUAGCAAAC
rnacentral:rRNA from 1 species